AUUGGCUCCUGGGUGAAGAGCAGCUGGCUCAAAUUAAGAUCAGAAAAGACUAUUUAUGAAGACUCUGGUUGCAACACUCAAAUGUUAAGCCAUUUUUGGAUAGACACUAUAAGGCAAUCACUGUGAAUAGGAUGUAACAAAAGCCAUCUGAAGGUCAGUUAAAUCCAUCCAUCAGAAUAUCAGCAAGUGGACCUACAACAUUUAUAGAACUUUUAUUCAUAAGAGAAAGAAAUCAUUAAUUGGUGAUUAACGUAAGAAGGUAAUAAUGAAUGCAGAUCUGUGUAGUAGGUUUUUUAUUACUCAUCUUCAGCAGGCAAGAUAAGAAAACAAAAUGAAGAAAUUAGUUUUCAUGUGCCAGAAAAGCUGUUUUGUGUAGGCUAUUGAUUGAAAUAAAUGUUGAUGUCCAGUG